rnacentral:rRNA from 1 species
GAAUCAUUGGGUUUAAAGGGUCCGCAGGCGGUCAAUUAAGUCAGAGGUGAAAUCCCAUAGCUUAACUAUGGAACUGCCUUUGAUACUGGUUGACUUGAGUUAUACGGAAGUAGAUAGAAUAAGUAGUGUAGCGGUGAAAUGCAUAGAUAUUACUUAGAAUACCGAUUGCGAAGGCAGUCUACUACGUAUAUACUGACGCUCAUGGACGAAAGCGUGGGGAGCGAACAGGAUUAGAUACCCUGGUAGUCCACGCCGUAAACGAUGGACACUAGUUGUUGGAUUUAGAUUCAGUGACUAAGCGAAAGUGAUAAGUGUCCCACCUGGGGAGUACGAUCGCAAGAUUGAAACUCAAAGGAAUUGACGGGGGCCCGCACAAGCGGUGGAGCAUGUGGUUUAAUUCGAUGAUACGCGAGGAACCUUACCAGGGCUUAAAUGUAGAGUGACAGUCUGAGAGAUCGGAUUUUCUUCGGACACUUUACAAGGUGCUGCAUGGUUGUCGUCAGCUCGUGCCGUGAGGUGUCAGGUUAAGUCCUAUAACGAGCGCAACCCCUAUCGUUAGUUGCUAGCAAGUAAAGCUGAGGACUCUAGCGAGACUGCCGGUGCAAACCGUGAGGAAGGUGGGGAUGACNUCAAAUCAUCACGGCCCUUACGU